rnacentral:rRNA from 1 species
CCCCUUGAGAGUGGCGAUGGGGUGAGGAAUAUAUCUGAACGGGCCCCCUCCCGUGGGAUCCGGUAGUGCCAUUUACGCUGAUACCGCAUACGAUCUACGCCUGAAUUCGGGGGACGCAAGACCUCGCGCGACUGGCCUCGCCGAUAUCCCAUUUGAUAUUUGGUAGGGUAAAGGCCUACCGGCUCAACGAUCUGUAGAUGGUCUGAGAGGACGAC